ensembl:lncRNA
CUAGGGUUGGGUACCGAGAACCGGUACCAAUAUGGAACCGGUUCCAAUACAACCGGUACCUACCCGGACCGAAAUGCAACGAAGAUUUCGGUGCUUCAUUUCGGUGCCUGAGCCAAUUGAACACGGUCGCUAGGCAGAUUCCGUGGGGCACAUGUAAAACUGCCCCAGCUCCCAAUGUAAACUUUGUCCUGUGUCGCUCACGCUCAUUGGUGUUUUCAUAGCAACAGUCUUAUGACAGUGAAGAGCAGGCAAGCACAAACAGAACUAGCCAUCAACCUUUUAACAGAGAAAAUACGGAAAGGUAAACGGUCAAAAGUGUGGCUGUAUUUCGCACAAAAAGAUUCAAACAUCGCGACGUGCAGCAAAUGCAACAAAAUAAUUGCGUGAAAAGAGGGGAGAGAAGGCAAGAGUCAACGGCAGAUCAGCAACCGAAGACUGAAAAAUAAACGGAGAUUACCAACGGUAGUCUCUUAAAGGGGCAGUACACAUUUUCUCGUACUCAGUGUGUUCAAGUAACAAGAUUCACUAUGAACAAGAUAGAAAAGAUAGGUAUAAACAAAUCAUAAAAUGGUGAAAUUUCAUGAAAUAAAUGCAAACAAAAUAAUACAUUUUUGACCCCAAAGGCAAAUAUGCUCAUAUUUUUGUAAAAGAAGUUUGAAGCUGUUUUUUUUGCAUUUAUUUAUAUUUAUUUAAGUAUAGGCCUACUAUAAACUGUUGUUUACAGUUAAUAUAAUGUUCAUAGUUUGAAGUUAAAAAGUUUGAAGCUGUGUUUUGUAGGUAUUUAUAUUUAUAAUAUACUUUAAACAGUUAAUAUAUUGUUCAAUUUGAAGAAAAAAAAUUGCCUUGGCAAUAAAAAAAGCCUUUCUUUAAUGUCGUCAAUCGUCGCUUUGUGCUUUAAAAAAAAAAAAAGUAUCGGUUCAGGCACUGUUUAGGCACCGGUAUCGUUUUAAAAGUAUCGGUUUAGCACCAGUAUCGGAAAAAACCCAAACGAUACCCAUCCCUAAUUGUCUGUACUUUCAGAUACAUAUCUGUGUGUACAGGCCUCAUCGACACCAUCGGAGAGGGUUUUCUCCUGUGUAGGUCAUGCGUUUAGUCAGGAAAGGUGUCGCAUUUUGCCGGAGAAGGCAAAUAUGCUGAUAUUUCUACAAAAGAAUUGCUGACAUAUUGAAGCUGUAGUGUGUGUAUAGAGUGUGUGUGUGUGUGUGUUUUGUAUUUAUUUAAGUAUAGUCUAAACUUUUGUUAACAGUUCAUAUAUUAUUUAAGUUAAAAAGUGUUUUGUAUUUAUUUAUAUAUAUAAUCUACUUUAAACAGUUCAUAUAUUUGGCAAUAAAAAAAGCCUUUCUUAAAUGUCGUCAAUCGCAAUUUUUUUAAUUUAUUUUUUAUAAAAGUAUCGGUUCCGGCACC